AUUAAAAUUAAGAAAAUAUAUAUAUAUAUAUAUACCUAGUAUAGUUGUCAGUAAAAUUUAAUAUAGUUGAUAGUGGCAGCAUACACUUGCUUCGACGUCGUCACAUCCAUAUCGUGUCGACAAUGAAAUAUUUUAUAUUUGGUAAAGGCUGAUAAUAAUCGCCUGUCGUUAGUAUAGUUCUUAACUAUAGUUAAUCGCCGUCGAUAUCGAUUACGCAGUUCGAAAUCAAGAUUCAACCGAUGGACAACACAUCCUUCGACGAUAAAAAUAUCACAUUAAUGCACCAGCAAUAACAUUAUUGAGUAUAGUUGAUGGAAAUGCCCGAACUACGAGGAGACGACUAUAGUUGAAUCUAUAUAACGCGAUUAAUAGUCGACCAUGCAAAAAAUUUCUUGUCGAAUCGAAUUAUAUGCGCGCAACUAUGCUACAUUUUCAAUUUACUAGGUAACUAUAGUGUAAUGAUCGACCAUAGUUACAUUUCUCUCAAUGGUAUCAUCAUAUAAACGUUACUUCAAUCAAAAAAUGGCUAGCUUCAGCCUAAUAUUAAACUUUAAACAACUCCAAAUCCUAACUAUUGUCGAUUAGGGAACAACUAUAAAUUAGAUCGACCAUACUUAAUUUUAAGUUUUAAUUUUCGUUUAUGAACAGCAUUUAUAUUCUUUUCGCAAAACACGUUUUCACUCGAAUCGAAAUAAUGAGUCGAGACAACCAUAUACGAUACAACAACUAUACCCUUUCUCGAUUGAUCGCACGUUGUGUCGUUUGUGUAUACGCGUUCUUUCUGCGAGAAUAUGUUGUGUGUGUGUGUGUGUAUGUGUAUGUGUAUGUGUAUGCCCGCGUGCAUUUUCAUUAAUGCAAGUAUAAAUGUUAGUGUUAAGUGUUAGUAAUAAUAAUAACAGCGGUAACAGGAGCAAUAAUA